CGGAGCUUGCUCCACCGGAAAAAGAGGAGUGGCGAACGGGUGAGUAACACGUGGGUAACCUGCCCAUCAGAAGGGGAUAACACUUGGAAACAGGUGCUAAUACCGUAUAACAAUCGAAACCGCAUGGUUUUGAUUUGAAAGGCGCUCUCGGGUGUCGCUGAUGGAUGGACCCGCGGUGCAUUAGCUAGUUGGUGAGGUAACGGCUCACCAAGGCCACGAUGCAUAGCCGACCUGAGAGGGUGAUCGGCCACAUUGGGACUGAGACACGGCCCAAACUCCUACGGGAGGCAGCAGUAGGGAAUCUUCGGCAAUGGACGAAAGUCUGACCGAGCAACGCCGCGUGAGUGAAGAAGGUUUUCGGAUCGUAAAACUCUGUUGUUAGAGAAGAACAAGGAUGAGAGUAACUGUUCAUCCCUUGACGGUAUCUAACCAGAAAGCCACGGCUAACUACGUGCCAGCAGCCGCGGUAAUACGUAGGUGGCAAGCGUUGUCCGGAUUUAUUGGGCGUAAAGCGAGCGCAGGCGGUUUCUUAAGUCUGAUGUGAAAGCCCCCGGCUCAACCGGGGAGGGUCAUUGGAAACUGGGAGACUUGAGUGCAGAAGAGGAGAGUGGAAUUCCAUGUGUAGCGGUGAAAUGCGUAGAUAUAUGGAGGAACACCAGUGGCGAAGGCGGCUCUCUGGUCUGU
rnacentral:rRNA from 1 species